AAUCUAAGAAUCCCCUGCCAACUCUUGAGGGCUCAAUCCAGAACGUUGAACUGAAGUACUGCAGCACAUCAUUGGUCAAAUGUGCCUCUGGGACCGUGGGAUCAAUAAAAAUUUGUGCCAAAGCCCCAGGUGACAGUGGAAAAGAGAAGCUGAUUCCUUUAAUUCAAGGUCCCUCUGACACCAGAGACUUGCACAGCAGUAAAUGGCUCAAUGAGAGUAGAAAGCCAGAGUCCCUCCUAGCUCCAGAUUUGGUAGUCUUUACAAUCCAAAUUCCACAGUGUAUGGACUACUGCCACAAUUCGGGUAAGUUUUUUUGUC